UACGUAGGGGGCAAGCGUUGUCCGGAUUUAUUGGGCGUAAAGAGCGUGUAGGCGGCCAUACAGGUCCGUUGUGAAAACUGGAGGCUUAACCUCCAGACGUCGAUGGAAACCGUAUGGCUAGAGUCCGGAAGAGGAGAGUGGAAUUCCUGGUGUAGCGGUGAAAUGCGCAGAUAUCAGGAGGAACACCGGUGGCGAAGGCGGGUCUCUGGGCCGAUAUUGACGCUGAGGAGCGAAAGCGUGGGGAGCGAACAGG
rnacentral:rRNA from 1 species